GAAUCACGCUGGCGGCGUGCCUCAGACAUGCAAGUCGAACGCGAAAGUUCCCUUCGGGGAACGAGUAGAGUGGCGUCCGGGUGAGUAACACGUGGGUAAUCUACCUUCGGGUGGGGAAUAACGACCGGAAACGGUCGCUAAUACCGCAUAAUGCAGCGGCACCUAAUGGUGACAGUUGUUAAAGCGGGGGAUCGCAAGACCUCGCGCCUGAAGAGGAGCCCGCGGCGGAUUAGCUAGUUGGCAGGGUAACGGCCUACCAAGGCGACGAUCCGUAGCCGGCCUGAGAGGGCGGUCGGCCACACUGGCACUGACACACGGGCCAGACUCCUACGGGAGGCAGCAGUCGGGAAUUUUGGGCAAUGGGCGAAAGCCUGACCCAGCAACGCCGCGUGAAGGAUGAAGCUUUUCGGAGUGUAAACUUCAUAAGAAUGGGACGAAUAAGGAGGGGUUAAUACCCCCUUUGAUGACGGUACCAUUUGUAAGCUCCGGCUAACUCCGUGCCAGCAGCCGCGGUAAUACGGGGGGAGCAAGCGUUGUUCGGAUUUACUGGGCGUAAAGGGCGCGUAGGCGGCGCAACAAGUCACUUGUGAAAUCUCCGGGCUUAACCCGGAGCGGCCAAGUGAUACUGUCGUGCUAGAGUGCGGAAGGGGCUACUGGAAUUCUCGGUGUAGCGGUGAAAUGUGUAGAUAUCGAGAGGAACACCUGCGGCGAAGGCGGGUAGCUGGGCCGACACUGACGCUGAGGCGCGAAAGCCAGGGGAGCGAACGGGAUUAGAUACCCCGGUAGUCCUGGCCUUAAACGAUGGAUACUUGGUGUCCGGGGUUACAUAGUCCCCGGGUGCCGGCGCUAACGCAUUAAGUAUCCCGCCUGGGGAGUACGGUCGCAAGACUGAAACUCAAAGGAAUUGACGGGGACCCGCACAAGCGGCGGAGCAUGUGGCUUAAUUCGAUGCGACGCGAAGAACCUUACCUGGGCUUGACAUGCGGGGUGAAGCCGUGGAAACACGGUCCUCUACGGAGCCCGCACAGGUGGUGCAUGGCUGUCGUCAGCUCGUGCCGUGAGGUGUUGCCUUAAGUGGCGCAACGAGCGCAACUCCUGUUCCUAGUUGCCAGCGGGUCAUGCCGGGAACUCUAGGGAGACUGCCGGUGCCAAACCGGAGGAAGGUGGGGAUGACGUCAAGUCAUCAUGCCCCUUAAGUCCAGGGCUGCACACAUGCUACAAUGCGCGGUACAGAGGGCUGCGAUCCCGCAAGGGGGAGCGAAUCCCAAAAAGCCGCGCUCAGUUCGGAUCGGGGUCUGCAACCCGACCCCGUGAAGUCGGAGUCGCUAGUAAUCGCAGAUCAGCAACGCUGCGGGAAUACGUUCCCG
rnacentral:rRNA from 1 species